rnacentral:rRNA from 1 species
UACGGAGGGUGCAAGCGUUAAUCGGAAUUACUGGGCGUAAAGCGUACGUAGGCGGUUAAGUCAGUCAGAUGUGAAAGCCCUGGGCUCAACCUGGGAACUGCAUUUGAUACUGCUUGGCUAGAAUAUGGUAGAGGGAAGUGGAAUUCCGGGUGUAGCGGUGAAAUGCGUAGAUAUCCGGAGGAACACCAGUGGCGAAGGCGGCUUCCUGGACCAAUAUUGACGCUGAGGUACGAAAGCGUGGGUAGCAAACAGGAUUAGAAACCCCAGUAGUCC